GUGGAGCUGGAAAGGUGGAGGCGGAAGUGACUGAUCAAUUCAGGGGCGUGGGGUUCGUUUAGGUUUUGCCCUGUGUAUGACCUCGUUUGGAGCCAUGAAACCAGAGUUUCGCUCUUUUUGACCAAGCUGGAGUGCAAUGGCGUGAUCUCGGCUCGCUGCAAUCUCUGCCUUCCAGGUUCAAGUGAUUCUCCUGCCUCAGCCUUCUGAGUAGUUGGGAUUACAGGUGGCUUUUCUACAAUAUAAAGAUGGAAAUGGGAAGAAGAUGUUCAUUGCAAAUUAAGGAAGCUCUUCCACGAGUUCACGAAUGGAAAUAACAUCAAGAGUUUUUCAUCUUCUUAGUGUGCAAGAUGUCUGAGGAAUAGUCUUAGUGGAUUAUCCCAAACUUGACACAUUUUUUGCAAAAUGCUAUACAAAAAGAAGAUACAUGCGAUUAUGACAAGAUUCUCCACUUGGUGUGACCAGUCUCAUACAACCCAAGGCUGUGUGUCCAAAGGCAACUGUACUGAAUACCGGAAAGCAUGUAUUUGUUUGCUAAAUUGCUCUCUUUCCACCAGUGAUAUCAAUUCUGAAAUACUUUUGAGAUCUUGACAAUAAUCAAAAGGUAGCCAGGUGCAUCGG
rnacentral:lncRNA from 10 species